rnacentral:lncRNA from 1 species
UCACCGUUGGAUGUAAAUUCAACGGUUCACUCUUGCACUCUUUUUAAGAAACUUUUUUGAACCAUUGGAUUAAUAUCCAACGGUGGGUGACCACAAUCUCUUGGACUCCUGUAGUCCAAGAGAUGGGGACUAUAUAUAUAUAUAUAUAUAUAUAUAUAUAUACAGAGAGCUUCCAUUGAGGGAUCCCUCAAAUAAGCUUAUUUGAGGGACACCCCUUGUAGGCCCCACUCCGGAUUGUAUUUCACUAAUCCAAACCGUCUAUUUUGUAGAUACUCAUUCAAAGAUCAUCUCUACAAAAAAUCACUUGAAUCCGAUAUCAUGUGACCACUCAAUUGAGUUAUUGAAAUUUUAGUACUUUUCUUAAAGCACCGUGUUCAUUGAUUUUGUAAGACACAAUUGGAUGUCGAAACGGUUUCCGAUUUGUCUAAUUUUUUGUAAGGAUGAUCUAUGAAUGAAUACCUAAAAAAUAGAUGGUUUCGAUUAUUGGGAAAAGAAUUGUAGGGUACCCUAAAGGGCGUCCCUCAAAUAAAAUUAUUUGAGGGAUCCCUCAAUAGAAGGGGACUGUAUAUAUAUAUAUAUACACAGAGAGCUUCCAUUGAGGGAUCCCUCAAAUUAGCUUAUUUGAGGGAUACCAUUGUAGGGCCCACUAUGUAUUGUAUUUCACUAAUCCAAACCGUCUCUUUUGUAGAUACUUAUUCAAAGAUCAUCUCUACAAAAAAUCACUUGAAUCCGAUAUCAUUUGACCACUCAAUUGAAUUAUUGAAAUUUUAGUACUUUCUUGAAGCAC